GUGGGAGCUGGUCGGAUGCGGCUCAACCAGCAGCCGGUUUUUUGUGGAAUUUGGUUAUUUCGUGUUCCAAUAACGAACUCUGGCCAUCCCUCAGCCCGCAGUUCAGAACAAUUUGCAAUCCCCUCCGCCGCCUCUCGACGCCGGAUGCGGUACUUGAUCCCGGCGAGGCGAUGAGGUGACGCCCAGCGUCGCUCAGCGUCACCCAGCGUCGCCAACACUUAUCCGGCACUCCGAAGCCGCCGCGCCGAACUCCAAAAGCGCGCGCGCAGCGCUCUACGACUUCGCUUCCUCCUGGGAUUCAUGAGUUCGUUUUCGACUACCCGUCACAUCGCAGGCGCCGGUUGCUCCGUUUCAACGAAUUCUUCUUUGGAGGCUUUUGUUGUAUAAAUAUCACGAGGUUCUUCAAUUCAGCGAUCGAUAGAGAAUGGCCGGAACGGGUUUAUUACGCAGCCGCCCGAUUGGGUAUUCCGGUGCCCACCGUUUCGUGAAUUUCAUUCCUGACUCCGUCGAGGAACAAAGUGAAAAGGGAAGAAUAUGGGAUGCCGGCUGGCGGGCAGAUGGUUGCCCUGCUUAUUGGUUUAUUCGCCCGGUACCCUCGCCCUCGUCUCGAUCCUGGCCUGUCGCCUGUCCUCCCUCCAUCCGAGAGGCCGGAGGCCUUGUUUGAGGGGAAAGCACGUAUGCUGUUCACUUCCUGUUUCAACUGUGACAAUCAUCGACAGAGAGAGAAGGGUGGCGGGGAGCCUGGCGGUAUUAUGGCGUCGUCGCUGGGCGGUCGGCGUCGGGUCGAUAGGACGAUGGAGGCGCACCGAAGGCCUGGCGAAACUGCGUUCCUGGCCAACCCCCCGUCGUCUGCACCCUCGAAGUCCUCUCCUUUGAGCCGAGCUCAUCCCAGGGGAUGAAAUUAUUCGCUCCGAAAAUGUCCUGGAAGCGCUGACGAGAACUGACGACUCGGUCCACUUAACGAGUCCAAACCAAACACCGUCGGUCAAUCCUUUACGGCACGUCGCCAGCUGUCAACUCGAUAAUUGCUUACAAAGGGGAUCGAGGUUUUUUCUACGGAAAAACCGAUUUCUCGGGUCAACCGGUGAAUGAAGACAUAUUGUGUAUAGGAAACUUCGACCGAGAUGAAAUUGACUGAGUGACCGAGUAACCUUUCGGCUCGGAAAUAUUGUGGAGGCACAUAUCGAUGCACUGCAGGAAUCCGAUGCACCUCAGGACAUCGAGAUUGCAUUUACCGCUACCCGAAGCCGGCCUUGUGCAAACCGCUGUAUCAUCUUCACCUCGCUCAUCCGCAGUCGACUUGCUUAUACAGUGCCCUGAAGAGCCGAGAAAUAUGUUGUCUAUAGAUAUUUUUCAUUGAACUUGACCCCGUAUUUGAUCUUGGAACAGAUUAUGCGGAUGGAUAGUUUCAUGGACGUUCAGCGAUUCGUCAUACUGGGCAAACCGAGAACCAUAUUACCAUUGAAAUGUACGAUGUUCGGUUGCAUAGAAGAUGGCGAACCCAUUGCAGCGAGCAAUGUUGUAAUUUAGAAGGCCCAGUUAAUGCUCUACAUCUACCCUGUAGAUCCGAAUUUGUUUGAUAACAGGCGACAAAUUCGGUUCUAGAGAGGUUUGUGUGGUGCAUACAAUGCUACAGUGGUCUGGAUCGAGUUUUCUUUGCACAACUAUACGCGAUUUAUUAUCUUACUGCAUGACUGCGAUACACUGUAAAUCAAACUAUAUAAGUCAAUUGGCAAUGUGCAUUAAUUUUAAAAAUUUUACAACCAAUUAAUUUUAUCAGAUUUUGCAAAUGAGAAGAUGCAGCCAACGGUAGAUGCAAAAUAACUGCACGUCAGAAUAUUAUACUGAUGGUGUUGCUUUAUUUUGUCGAUACUCUGUACGUGUUUCCUUUUCGUGAGUUGAGAAUUUAAUGAUUUAUUCUUCACUUCUUGAUUUUUCAUAAAAAUGGCAGAAAUCUCCAUAUAAAGUAGUCCGAAAAAGUGUUGUUCACUCUAAUUUGAGCAGCACCUAAAAAAUGAACACGAUUAGUUAACACGGCGUUGAAUGUAUAAUUUAUAAAUCAUAUGCAAGCUUUUCGUCUAAUUUAUUAACACUCUCCACCCUGAAAACAUCUACGAAUUCAUCUUUUUAUCCGCGAUUCACUAAACGAACCGA